rnacentral:misc_RNA from 1 species
GCCGAAGGUGGGGCUGAUGACUGGGGUGAAGUCGUAACAAGGUAGCCGUACCGGAAGGUGCGGCUGGAUCACCUCCUAACAGGGAGACAAAAAACUGAUUGUGAUGUCUUAGUUAAUUAUUCUUAGGCCGCAAUCCUGUCACCUUAGGUCGAUCGGUACCUCAGAUUAUUAACUAAUAAGAUUUGGUUUUUAAUUUCAGUUCCUAAACUUUUGUCUAGGUCACACCCAUCAAUG